CCGGUAGCUAAAUGCGGAAGAGAUAAGUGCUGAAAGCAUCUAAGCACGAAACUUGCCCCGAGAUGAGUUCUCCCUGACUCCUUGAGAGUCCUGAAGGAACGUUGAAGACGACGACGUUGAUAGGCCGAGUGUGUAAGCGCAGCGAUGCGUUGAGCUAACCGGUACUAAUGAACCGUGAGGCUUAACCUUACAACGCCGAAG
rnacentral:rRNA from 1 species